UUUUUUAAUUGAAAACUUGUAUGAAUGGUUUAAUGAGAUAUUAGUUGUUUCAUAAAAAUUUUUGUAGAAAUUAAUUUUUUAGUUAAAAAGCUAAAAUAAAAUUAAAAGACGAGAAGACCCUAUAGAGUUUUAUAUAAUUUAUAUUAUAAUUUAUAAAUAAUAAUUAAAAUUUUAUUAUACGUUAUAUUUUGUUGGGGUGACAGUAAAAUUUUAAUAUCUUUUAUUAUUUUUAAACAAUGAUUUUUGAUUAUUUGAUCCAGUUUUAUUGAUUAUAAGAUUAAAUUACCUUAGGGAUAACAGCGUAAUUUUUUUGGAGAGUUCAUAUCGAUAAAAAUUUUUGC
rnacentral:rRNA from 1 species